ACCUGGAUGGCUCAGUCGGUUAAGUGUCUGACUUUGGUUCAGGUCAUGAUCUCAUGGCUUGUGGGUUCAAGCCCCACGUCGGGCU
rnacentral:tRNA from 1 species